rnacentral:rRNA from 1 species
GACAGAGGGGGCAAGCGUUGCUCGGAAUCACUGGGCGUAAAGAGCUCGUAGGCGGUGUGUCGCGUCGGCCGUGAAAACCUGGGGCUUAACUCUGGGCGUGCGGUCGAUACGGGCAUCACUGGAGUUCGGCAGGGGAGACUGGAAUUCCUGGUGUAGCGGUGAAAUGCGCAGAUAUCAGGAGGAACACCGGUGGCGAAGGCGGGUCUCUGGGCCGAUGACUGACGCUGAGGAGCGAAAGCAUGGGUAGCGAACAGG